CAGUGCAACGGCCGACUUCCUCUCUGAGAAAUGUUGACACUUUAGCCAUCAACGGUUGUGACCCGGGCAAAGCUAACGUCGCGUUUACUCAUAUUAAACCCCGAGCUGAAGAAGCUCCACAACCUACUCUUCUGGAAUCAAAGCUUCAUUCGCCAACACUGACUGUACAACAGAACCAUACCACAUGUGUCUGCCGACUGUGUGCUGUCCUCGUUGUUCCUCCAAAUGGACCCAGGGUUAAGUGACUUGCUUGGAUGCAGAUAUUGGCCUGCAACCACCAGCUGCCAAAUGCUGUUCAAAUUUGAUGUGUUCACGUCAUUUGAGCAGAUGAAGCUGACCAGCUCAGCCUUAACCAAAUAAGGCUAUGCAAACGGAGGAGACUGGAUAAUCUCAAGAAGAAACUCAAGGAGAGGAUCAUGCACUAAAUACCAUUUGUGCAUCUGAUCAAUCAGCUGAUACAGAAGCAGCAUGCAGUCUCCCUGAUGAUGUUGUUCUGCCCUGGGAUGUGCAAGGAGAUGAAGAGGGAUACAGCGGACUGCACUGCUGUCUUCUUUGCAUAAGCACCACAUUCUUCUGGAGACACUGAGCUCCAUCGCUAGCACCUAUGCAUGUUUUGACAUGGACUCAUCUUUCCUCAUGUUGGAGGAAGACAGAGCAUUGUGAAGAGGAAAGUGAACAGGAUGACAGCAUUUCAGAGCUUUCAGAGGAAAACAUGUAAACAAGCUGUCUAUACAUGGCAGCGUUUAAUGUGUUAACACAUUCACAUGACAAGCUACCAUGCAAAGUUAGCACAACCAGGAGGAGCAAUUUGAACAGUGUUGGAAAAUGUAUUUAGACCACUUUGUGAAUAUACUCCUUUAAAAGUUCUAUACUCCAACUUGACUGUCAAAAAAUGUGUAGAUUGUCAGAAAAUGUACUUCUGUAUGAAAUGUAAAAGGAUGUUUAGUUUAGUAAAAUUUAGCAUUCCUGUAAUGUGUUAGAUUACUGGUACUGCUGUAUAUGUAUGUUUAAAUUAUUUUGGAUGAAGGAGAUUACAAGAAGAUUUCAACAGUGUUAUUUUACUACCUAAGAACUUUGAAUUUGUUCUUAAGUUCUGACAUUACACAACCGAAUUGUAGCAUUUUUAGUUUUUUUUUUUUUUAAAUGCGGUUGUCUUUUUCAACCUUCUGUGACAACACAAGAUACUUUGACCACAUUUUUACUCAAGGAAAUAAAAACAGUUUUAACAGGA